rnacentral:rRNA from 1 species
AAAACUUUCAACAACGGAUCUCUUGGCUCUCGCAUCGAUGAAGAACGCAGCGAAAUGCGAUAAGUAAUGUGAAUUGCAGAAUUCAGUGAAUCAUCGAAUCUUUGAACGCACCUUGCGCCUUUCGGUAUUCCGAAAGGCAUGCCUGUUUGAGUGUCAUG